rnacentral:rRNA from 1 species
GAUGAACGCUGGCGGCGUGCCUAAUACAUGCAAGUCGAGCGAACGGACGAGAAGCUUGCUUCUCUGAUGUUAGCGGCGGACGGGUGAGUAACACGUGGAUAACCUACCUAUAAGACUGGGAUAACUUCGGGAAACCGGAGCUAAUACCGGAUAAUAUUUUGAACCGCAUGGUUCAAAAGUGAAAGACGGUCUUGCUGUCACUUAUAGAUGGAUCCGCGCUGCAUUAGCUAGUUGGUAAGGUAACGGCUUACCAAGGCAAUGAUGCAUAGCCGACCUGAGAGGGUGGUCGGCCACCCUGGAACUGAGACACGGUCCAGACUCCUACGGGAGGCAGCAGUAGGGAAUCUUCCGCAAUGGGCGAAAGCCUGACGGAGCAACGCCGCGUGAGUGAUGAAGGUCUUCGGAUCGUAAAACUCUGUUAUUAGGGAAGAACAUAUGUGUAAGUAACUGUGCACAUCUUGACGGUACCUAAUCAGAAAGCCACGGCUAACUACGUG